ACACACAAAACUACUCCAGAUCAUGUAAGACAAUGGAGAAACAUACAAUUUAGGAAAUCUACCUCGAGGAGGGUGGGAUAAACAUGAUUCCACAAAAGGGGUGCCACUUGAAAAUCUUCCCACCUCAGCCUCUUGAACAGCUUAAUCCCCAGGAAUGCAUCAUCAUGCUCAGCUAAGUUUUGUAUUUUUAUUUUUUCUGUAGAGACAGGGUUCCGCCCUAUUGCCCAAGCUGGCCUCAAACUCCUAAGCUGAAGCAAUACUCCCACUUUGGCCUCCCAAAGUGCUGAGAUUACCAUGCCUGGAAUAAAUUUAUUUUUAUCUAAAAAUCAGAGGCCUUAAUCUGAUGUUGCAUUUCAUAACCAGGACUUUAAUUCAAAUAAGCAGAUAAGUCAGCAGUAAAGAAAACACAGAAGUUGGGUUAUGAAACUGUGGGGCCACAGAAAAAUUUGAAUUCAGAUCCUGGAUGUUAGGCUUAAAUAUAUGAUGUAUUUCUUUCCUCCUUAUAAUAAAAGGAGAUAAAAUUGAGCUAACCUGGCAUUCUAAGUUCCUCUGAACUCAGGGAACUCUUCCUCUUUCGAUAAUUAAUUCCUACAAUGAUAAAACCAAUUAAGGUAGCACUUCUUCGAAGAAAAAGAGAGGAACUAGGAAUUUGUAUCUUUAUUUUCUUUGUAUCUUUUUUCCUUUUCAUAAAGAAACAGUAAAAUAAAGGAAAAUAUCCUUAGCUAAGUAGGUCUGAUCUAGUGUGCUGUGAUUCUGAGUGAUCUUCAAACUACCUUGAGUAACGUUUCUGGCCUGGACACCUAGCUCACUGUGAUUACUGUGGUGAUAUUUAAAAAAUUGUUUAUAUAUGACUCUCAUUACAUACUCCACAGAAUUUUACACAUCAGUCGUUCUACCACUUUCAAAUAUCAUAGUGAUACAGUGAUGACACAUUUAAUGGAAAUAAGUUAUAUUGCUAUAACCUGAAUCAUAUUUACAAAAGUCCUUUUUCACAUCCUUUUCACUCUAAGGUAGCCCAGGUUUCCUUCUGACUCUGACGUUGUGCCUCCAACAGUAAAUAUCAAGCCUCUUAAGUUGAAUUGCUAUUAUGGCACUCAUGGAACGAGACAUGACAUAAUUCAGUAAUUUGGCUCAAUUGCUACUCUAUAAUCAAUCUGUUCAUUGUUGACCAUGAAUUUUUAAGGAUAGCUCCCAGGUAGAUUAGCAGAUUGCUAACUGUGCGUUCAUCAUUUCCUUCUUUUCUUUGGAGCCUUGUCAAUGUCUGUAACCAAAGUGUCACUGGAAAAGGCAGUGAACUGGGCAGUGAUAAAAAAUACAGAAUAAUUUUUGUGAAAUAAUUACGGGAUACUUACUAUGUGCCAAGCAUAGAAAAAGGUACUGGGAAUUCAACAAUUAAAAAACAAAACAUAUAUGACUCCUACUCUCAGAGGUCUGACAACUAAAUGGGAGAGACAUUUUAAAAACUGUUUUUGUGCGACGUGACAAGUGCCCCAGAGGAGCAGUGUUAGGCGCGAGAGGAGCCUGUGAGAGUGGCGCCCACCCUGGACCUGCAGAAGAAGAGCCUGCUUUCUACAUGUAACUAGAGGCCAUUGUUUUAAGUGAAAUAACUCAGAAACAGAAAGUCAAACACCGUAUGUUCUCAUUGAUAAGUGGGAGCGAAAUAGCAUGUACUGAUAGAAAAACAGAGUGAAAUAAUAGACGUUGGAGACUUGGACAGGGUGGAGGUUUAGAAGGGAACGAAGGAUGAAAAGUCACUUAAUGGGCACACUGUACACUAUUUGGAUGAUGGUUACACUAAAAGCCCAGGUUUUACCACUGUGCGGUGUAUCCAUGUAUAAACAGUGUGCUUGUACCCUCUACAUCUGAUAAAAAGGAAGAAGAAAAAAAGUGUGAUAUCUCAUGUGAAAAAUAGGUAUACAUAUAAUGGAAAGAUAUAUCUAUUGUUAGAAAAAAGUAGUUUGUCCUUGCUGGGGUUUGAAUGUGUUCCCCAAGAAGCAUGUGUUGGAAACUUAAACUCCUGAUGCUACAGGGAGAUGGGGCUUAAUGAAAGGUGUUUAGAUCAUGAGCUUCAGCUUCAUCAAUGGAUUCAUGGCACUUAUAAAAGCGCUUGGUGCUGCUCAUUUGAUCUCUUGCUCUCUGUCAUUCACUCUUUGCUCUUUUUCAUGACAUGACACAGCAAGAAGACCCUUGCCAGAUGCCAGCCCUUGGAUCUUUUACUUCCCAACCCCCAGAACCGCUAGUCAGUAAAGUUCUGUUCGUUAGAAAUGUACUCAGUCUCAGGCUUUCUGUUACAGCAGCACAAAAUACGCUAAGACAGUCCUGAUGAAGGUAAAAUGUAUGCCACGGCUUGUAAGUAACACAGAAUCCGUUUGUCAGUUACAAGGAUUUAGAGUAGACAAAGUGGCUAGAAUACCAAAAGACAGGGCAGGAGGCCGUGAGACUUGAGGCAACAAGAAAAUUGAGGUGCCGAGUUGAAUCUAGCUCAGUUGGUUGGGAGAGUUCAAAUUGCUUCUGGUAUUUUAUCUUCAGUGCUUGUACUGUAGAAUAUACAUUUUGCUUAGAAAUGCUCAAUUUCUCUUGGAAUACACUCAUUUAGCAAAUAUUUAUUGUACUAUUUUUUAUCUGAGGACAGAAACGGUCUGGCUGUUCUCAAGUGUCUUAUUUCAGGAAAGAGCACAGCGCCUGAAACACAGUAAGCAUACAAUGCCUAUUUGCUAUUUAUUUGUUGAUUUGCUUUACUCAUUAAAAUGGGGGCAAAAAGUGUGUCUUUCCAACAUCUUAAAAGAAUGUCUGGUAGCGAAUGUAUGUUCAACUAAUUUUUAUUACAUGAAUAAAUGUUGAGGCUCAUCUUAUUCUUUCCCUGCCUCAGCCUUAGAAUCAGCCAUUUCUCCAAAAGUUCUGGUUUCUUUAAGAGGAAGACAGUAUUUGAAAGUCAAGGUCUGAGGUCUCUGUGUGCUCAUUAUUACUGGAGUAUCUUAUUUCUAGUUCCUUUCAGUGGAGGGAGAGCUAGCAAAGGUAAAUUAUAGAUAGACAGAUAGAAUAGAUAGAUAGAUACAUCUGUAACUAUGAGUUCAUAUUGGUGCCUCCAAUUCUAGUCUAAUACUUCAGAGUUAUUCUCGCCUUCUACCUUUCCAUGUUUUAAAGUAUGGUUUCCACCUGAGAUAAACCUGGCUGUCAUCAUUUAUAAGGCCUUUAUUUAUUUGCUCAAUUAAAGUAAUUAUUUGCUCAAUGUAAUGAACCUCCAGACCACCCCUGGAUGUCUCCUCCACCUGCCAGUUCCUCACCCGCCUUGAAUGCACUUCUGCCUGACUCUCCUUAUCUGCUGCAGAAUCCUGCAUGCCUCCAAGAAGCCUUCAUAUAUGGCUCCCCCUCCCCAGGUAGAUCCUGACACCUCCAUACCAGGAAGAAAGAAGGAAAAAAAUAAUUGAAAGAGAAGAUGGAAAGGGAAAGUUAGAAAGAAAUGGACAGUGGGAAGGACGAAGGUAAAGAAGCGUGGCUGUGUUAUAGAAGCCAAUGAAGGUGCAGGAGCAGAAAACAACUGAGGCUCGACCCGUGAGGGCCUGUGAGACUGGGUACUGCCUCCCUCCGCAUCCUCAGCUGCCUGGAGGAGAGUGAGGCAAUUAAUGCUUCAUUCAGAAACCCAUGCUUCUGUUGGCAACCCAUCCAUCUUCAUCCCCCGAAACUAUCAAGAACUGUGAAGAAUCUGAGAUGUUUGUCCUACUUGCAAGGUAACAGGUUAGCCUGUGCGUUUCAUGAAUGAGUUGGAGAAAAAGAAACCUAAUUAUUCACGCAUAGCUAGAAGAGUAAGUUGCACUUUUGCUUUGCUUCCCCUUGUCGAUCCAAUGUCUGAAUAUUCAUUUUAUAUUUCAUUAUCUUGUGUAUGAACAUUUCAAAGUAUCCUUUUGAAUUUUCCAGAUACACAAUAAUAUUAUCAUCAAAUAAUGACAGUUCUUCACGCAUAUAUUCCACUUUCAAUAGGGAGAAAAUUUUCCGGAUUUUAAUUAUAAAAGAGGAAACUCAGAUUCUAGUUCUGGGCAUAAAUUGUUCCUUUCCACUGAUUGAUAUUUACUGGGUGUGUUCUAUGUAUCAGAAUCCAGGAAUCCUCAUCCCAAAAAGCAAAGAAAAGGAAGAAGCUGGCGUUUUGUUCAUUCCUCAGGAAAAAAAAAAUCCAUUAUUCAUUUGUAAAUUGACUUAUUGAUAUUUACUGAUAAGAAAAAGAAAAAAGUUUGAUAGCAUUUAGUUUGUAAAUAAACAUUUGUUUCUUAUUUUUGAGGUAUAAUAUAUUAAGCGAAUUUAGUGUUGAACUGCUUGCUACAUUUCAUAAAAACAUCAAUGAUGAGAACAGACAUGCGAAAGCAAUUCAACAUUGCCUAAACUGAUAAAUGCAAUUUUAUUAUGCUAGAUUAAAUAAAUAUAAUAUAGUUUAAAUCAUAUUGUUAAAGAACAAGAGAUGUAAAAUAUGACUACUAUAUUCAUAUAAUAAUACAAAUAUCUGUGUACGGUUUUACCAUUUGAAUACAUUGACUGGGUAACACUGCUAGAUAUAAAGCAUUAGACAGAAUAUAUCGUGUUUAAAGUGUAGGCUCUGAAAUCUGACAGGGUUCAAAUCUAGGCAAUUUACUGACAAAAUGAUUGACACUGGGCAUGUUGAAAUCUCUUGGGAACCGAAGCUGUUCAUCUAUAAAAUGAGAAAAAUAGUAAUGCCUACCUUACAGGGUUCUCAUAGGAUUAAAGGCGUUACUGAAGACAGAGUGCUUAGAACAGUGCUUGGCAAAGAGUAAACAUUCAAUAAAUGUGAGGACACGUAAGAUGAGAUGAGACAUUGAAUUUAAGCAAAGUGAAAGUCUUUGACCUGACCUCAUUUCUGCUUUUGUAGAAUUGGCCAUUGUACAGUGUGCAGUCUGUACGAUUCUAAGUUCAUACAGCCUGUUUCUAUGGUUAGAUGAUUCGAAGUUCCAGGUCAGAGACAGGAUCAAUUGUUAGAAAAGCAAAUGGUCAUUUGCUUGUU